AGAGUUUGAUCCUGGCUCAGGACUAACGCUGGCGGCGUGCCUAACACAUGCAAGUCGAACGAAGUAGCAAUACUUAGUGGCAGACGGGUGAGUAACACGUAGUCAACCUACCUUUUAGUGGGGGAUAACUAGCCGAAAGGUUAGCUAAUACCGCAUGCGAUCGCCGAGUGGCAUCACUUGGCGAUGAAAGAAGCAAUUCG
rnacentral:rRNA from 1 species